UACAGAGGUCUCAAGCGUUGUUCGGAUUCAUUGGGCGUAAAGGGUGGGUAGGCGGCGCGGUAAGUCGGGUGUGAAAUCUCGGAGCUUAACUCCGAAACUGCAUUCGAUACUGCCGUGCUUGAGGACUGGAGAGGAGACUGGAAUUUACGGUGUAGCGGUGAAAUGCGUGGAUAUCGUAAGGAAGACCAGUGGCGAAGGCGGGUCUCUGGACAGUUCCUGACGCUGAGGCACGAAGGUCAGGGGAGCAAACGGG
rnacentral:rRNA from 1 species